rnacentral:rRNA from 1 species
GAUGAACGCUGGCGGCGUGCCUAAUACAUGCAAGUCGAGCGAACAGACGAGGAGCUUGCGCCUCUGUCGUUAGCGGCGGGCGUGUGAGUAACACGUGUAUAACCUACCUAUAUGUCUGGGAUAACUUCGGGACACGGGAUCUAAUACCGGAUAAUAUAUUGCACCGCAUGGUGCGAUAGUGAAAGACGGUGUUGCGGUCACUUAUCGAGGGAUCCGGGCUGCUUGAGAUGGUUGGUACGGUAACGGCCUACUAAGGGUACGAUGCGUAGCCGACGUGCGAGAGUGAUCGGCGACCCGGGAGGUGAGCCGCCGUCCAGACGACUACGGGAGGCAGCAGAAGGGAAUGUGCGGCAACGGGCGAAAGCAUGACGGAACAACGCGGAGUGAGUGGUGAAGGUCUUCGGAUCGUAAAACUCUCUUAUUAGGGAAGAACAGAUGUGUAAUUAACUGUACACGUCUUGACGGUACCUAAUCAGAAAGCCCCGGCUAACUACGUG